rnacentral:rRNA from 1 species
UACGAAGGGGGACUAGCGUUGUUCGGAAUUACUGGGCGUAAAGCGCACGUAGGCGGAUUUGUAAGUCAGGGGUGAAAUCCCGGGGCUCAACCUCGGAACUGCCUUUGAUACUGCCGUGCUCGAGGACUGGAGAGGAGUCUGGAAUUCACAGUGGAGCAGUGAAAUGCGUAGAUAUUGUGAGGAACACUAGUGGCGAAGGCGAGACUCUGGACAGUUCCUGACGCUGAGGCACGAAGGCCAGGGGAGCAAACGGG